CUACGGGUUGCUGCAGUGGGGAAUAUUGCACAAUGGGCGCAAGCCUGAUGCAGCCAUGCCGCGUGUAUGAAGAAGGCCUUCGGGUUGUAAAGUACUUUCAGCGGGGAGGAAGGGAGUAAAGUUAAUACCUUUGCUCAUUGACGUUACCCGCAGAAGAAGCACCGGCUAACUCCGUGCCAGCGAGCCGCGGUAAUACGGAGGGUGCAAGCGUUAAUCGGAAUUACUGGGCGUAAAGCGCACGCAGGCGGUUUGUUAAGUCAGAUGUGAGAUCCCCGGGCUCAACCUGGGAACUGCAUCUGAUACUGGCAAGCUUGAGUCUCGUAGAGGGGGGUAGAAUUCCAGGUGUAGCGGUGAAAUGCGUAGAGAUCUGGAGGAAUACCGGUGGCGAAGGCGGCCCCCUGGACGAAGACUGACGCUCAGGUGCGAAAGCGUGGGGAGCAAACAGGAUUAGAUACCCGAGUAGUC
rnacentral:rRNA from 1 species